AGCCUUGAAGUGUCAUCACGUUAGAUUGCAAAUCUAAAGAAGUAGACUACCGUCUACCGGGGCUU
rnacentral:tRNA from 1 species